rnacentral:rRNA from 1 species
CACGGGGGGCGCAAGCGUUGUUCGGAAUCACUGGGCGUAAAGGGCGCGUAGGCGGCCUGUCAAGUGGAAGGUGAAAUCCCUCGGCUUAACCGAGGAACUGCCCUCCAAACUGCUUGGCUUGAGUCCGGGAGAGGUGAGUGGAAUUCCCAGUGUAGCGGUGAAAUGCGUAGAUAUUGGGAGGAACACCAGUGGCGAAGGCGGCUCACUGGACCGGAACUGACGCUGAUGCGCGAAAGCGUGGGGAGCAAACGGG